rnacentral:sRNA from 1 species
UAUCAAAUUCUCUUUCCUGAUGGGACAGGCCAGAUACAGUAUCCACAGAAACACAGGGAUGCUCAUAUUGACAUAUAUUGGCACCUAAAAUGUCUAUGAUUCAGGUUAUCCAUCAGGAAACCUGGCUAUGCUCAUCUUAUAUGCGAAAAUGAAAAAGUUCACAUACAUCAUUCUGGAAGACAGUCUAGAAGGGUGGAUCCGGGCCCUUAUCAACAACUCAGGCAAUGCUACCUUCUAUGAUGAAAAUAGUGAUAUCUGUCAGCACUGAGCAGCACGCUCGUGUGGUUCUCGGGGACGUUCCCACAUACGAUUCCUCGGGGUCCUGCAGACUCCAAGACUUCUCAGCUUGCUCCUCUCAGACAGACCAUUUAGGUGCACAGCCCGGCUGGCCUGCUUAUUUAGAAACUGACAACAGAAGGCUCAGCUGAAAAGCAAAAUUAAGAGCUAUGUUAGUUCCCCUAUGGAAUACCAUCCUCAAGAAAAGCCAAGGAGGGAGGGGAACCACAAGGGUUGAAAAACCUCAGCAUCAUGCAAUACAGCCAGGCAACAAACCUUCAUGUAUGUACCCCUUGAAUCUAAAAUAAAAGUUGAAAAAUAAAAUAAA